UCAAGCGAACAAGUGCAUGUGGUGGAUGCCUUGGCGAUCACAGGCGAUGAAGGACGCGGUAGCCUGCGAAAAGCUUCGGGGAGCUGGCAAACAAGCUUUGAUCCGGAGAUGUCCGAAUGGGGAAACCCGGCCCGUAUGGGUCAUCCCACACUGAAUUCAUAGGUGUGGGAAGCGAACGCGGCGAACUGAAACAUCUAAGUAGCUGCAGGAACAGAAAUCAACCGAGAUUCCCAAAGUAGUGGCGAACGAAAUGGGAAGAGCCUUGUACUCUUUAGCAGUGGUGUUAGCAGAACGGGAUGGAAAGCCCGGCCAUAGCAGGUGAUAGCCCUGUAUGCGAAAACACGAUUGUGGAACUAGGUGUACGACAAGUAGGGCGGGACACGUGAAAUCCUGUCUGAAGAUGGGGGGACCAUCCUCCAAGGCUAAAUACUCGUGAUCGACCGAUAGUGAACCAGUACCGUGAGGGAAAGGCGAAAAGAACCCCGGGAGGGGAGUGAAAUAGAUCCUGAAACCGCAUGCAUACAAACAGUCGGAGCCCUUUCGGGGGUGACGGCGUACCUUUUGUAUAAUGGGUCAGCGACUUACAUUCAGUGGCAAGCUUAACCGAUUAGGGCAGGCGUAGCGAAAGCGAGUCCGAACAGGGCGUUGAGUCGCUGGGUGUAGACCCGAAACCAGAUGAUCUAUCCAUGGCCAGGUUGAAGGUGCGGUAACACGUACUGGAGGACCGAACCCACUAACGUUGAAAAGUUAGGGGAUGAGCUGUGGAUAGGGGUGAAAGGCUAAACAAAUCUGGAAAUAGCUGGUUCUCUCCGAAAACUAUUUAGGUAGUGCCUCGUGUCUCACCUUCGGGGGUAGAGCACUGUCAUGGUUGGGGGGUCUAUUGCUGAUUACCCCGCCAUAGCAAACUCCGAAUACCGAAGAGUGCAAUCACGGGAGACAGACAUCGGGUGCUAACGUCCGGUGUCAAGAGGGAAACAACCCAGACCGCCAGCUAAGGUCCCCAAAUAUAGCUAAGUGGGAAACGAAGUGGGAAGGCUAAAACAGUCAGGAGGUUGGCUUAGAAGCAGCCACCCUUUAAAGAAAGCGUAAUAGCUCACUGAUCGAGUCGUCCUGCGCGGAAGAUGUAACGGGGCUAAGCUAUAUACCGAAGCUGCGGACGCGUGCGCUCCUUUAAGUGCACCAAGCUUGUCGAUGCGCAGCAUCGACAAAGCCACCAACAAUGAUCGAUGGUGGUUGUGCUAGUGGAUUUAAAGGAGCGUACGCGUGGUAGGAGAGCGUUCUGUAAGCCUGUGAAGGUGUCUUGUAAAGGAUGCUGGAGGUAUCAGAAGUGCGAAUGCUGACAUGAGUAGCGAUAAAGGGGGUGAAAGGCCCCCUCGCCGUAAGCCCAAGGUUUCCUACGCAACGUUCAUCGGCGUAGGGUGAGUCGGCCCCUAAGGCGAGGCAGAGAUGCGUAGCUGAUGGGAAGCAGGUUAAUAUUCCUGCACCGUCGUAUGAUGCGAUGGGGGGACGGAUCGCGGAAGGUUGUCCGGGUGUUGGAAGUCCCGGUCCCUGCAUUGGAGAAGGCGCUCAGGCAAAUCCGGGCGCGGGAUUCAAGGAUGUGGGGCGAGCGGCCUAGUGCUGCGAAGCAAUUGGAAGUGGUUCCAAGAAAAGCCUCUAAGCUUCAGUCAUACGAGACCGUACCGCAAACCGACACAGGUGGGCGAGAUGAGUAUUCUAAGGCGCUUGAGAGAACUCGGGAGAAGGAACUCGGCAAAUUGGUACCGUAACUUCGGGAUAAGGUACGCCCUGGUAGCUUGACUGGCCUGCGCCAGAAGGGUGAAGGGGUUGCAAUAAAAUGGUGGCUGCGACUGUUUAAUAAAAACACAGCACUCUGCAAACACGAAAGUGGACGUAUAGGGUGUGACGCCUGCCCGGUGCCGGAAGAUUAAAUGAUGGGGUGCAAGCUCUUGAUUGAAGUCCCGGUAAACGGCGGCCGUAACUAUAACGGUCCUAAGGUAGCGAAAUUCCUUGUCGGGUAAGUUCCGACCUGCACGAAUGGCGUAACGAUGGCCACACUGUCUCCUCCCGAGACUCAGCGAAGUUGAAGUGUUUGUGAUGAUGCAAUCUCCCCGCGGCUAGACGGAAAGACCCCAUGAACCUUUACUGUAGCUUUGCAUUGGACUUUGAACCGAUCUGUGUAGGAUAGGUGGGAGGCUUUGAAGCGUGGACGCCAGUUCACGUGGAGCCGUCCUUGAAAUACCACCCUGGUUUGUUUGAGGUUCUAACCUUGGCCCGUGAAUCCGGGUCGGGGACAGUGCAUGGUAGGCAGUUUGACUGGGGCGGUCUCCUCCCAAAGUGUAACGGAGGAGUUCGAAGGUACGCUUGGUACGGUCGGACAUCGUACCUAAAGUGCAAUGGCAAAAGCGUGCUUAACUGCGAGACCGACAAGUCGAGCAGGUGCGAAAGCAGGACAUAGUGAUCCGGUGGUUCUGAAUGGAAGGGCCAUCGCUCAACGGAUAAAAGGUACUCUGGGGAUAACAGGCUGAUACCGCCCAAGAGUUCAUAUCGACGGCGGUGUUUGGCACCUCGAUGUCGGCUCAUCUCAUCCUGGGGCUGUAGCCGGUCCCAAGGGUAUGGCUGUUCGCCAUUUAAAGAGGUACGUGAGCUGGGUUUAAAACGUCGUGAGACAGUUUGGUCCCUAUCUGCCGUGGGCGUUGGAAUCUUGACGGGGGCUGCUCCUAGUACGAGAGGACCGGAGUGGACGUACCGCUGGUGUACCUGUUGUCUCGCCAGAGGCAUCGCAGGGUAGCUAUGUACGGAAGAGAUAACCGCUGAAAGCAUCUAAGCGGGAAACUCGCCUGAAGAUGAGGAUUCCCUGGAGGCUUGACCUCCUUGAAGGGUCGUUCGAGACCAGGACGUUGAUAGGCUGGGUGUGGAAGCGCAGUAAUGCGUUAAGCUAACCAGUACUAAUUGCCCGUAAGGCUUGAUCCU
rnacentral:rRNA from 1 species